rnacentral:rRNA from 1 species
AUUGAACGCUGGCGGCAGGCUUAACACAUGCAAGUCGAGCGGGGUGAUGGUGCUUGCACUAUCACUUAGCGGCGGACGGGUGAGUAAUGCUUAGGAAUCUGCCUAUUAGUGGGGGACAACAUCUCGAAAGGGAUGCUAAUACCGCAUACGUCCUACGGGAGAAAGCAGGGGAUCACUUGUGACCUUGCGCUAAUAGAUGAGCCUAAGUCGGAUUAGCUAGUUGGUGGGGUAAAGGCCUACCAAUGCGACGAUCUGUAGCGGGUCUGAGAGGAUGAGCCGCAACACUGGGACAGAGACACGGCCCAGACUCCUACGGGAGGCAGCAGUGGGGAAUAUUGGACAAUGGGGGGAACCCUGAUCCAGCCAGGCCGCGUGUGUGAAGAAGGCCUUAUGGUUGUAAAGCACUUUAAGCGAGGAGGAGGCUCUUUUGGUUAAUACCCAAGAUGAGUGGACGUUACUCGCAGAAUAAGCACCGGCUAACUCUGUGCCAGCAGCCGCGGUAAUAC